CUCCCAUCGAAGACGCUUCACUUCUUCCCCACCGCCAUCGUCGGUGCCACGUCCGUCUUCGGUCGGUAAGUCGUGACACAACUCAGUUACAACCCUGGGAAGAGAGGAGAGAAAGCAGGAAUCGGAAGAUCCUCGGAGGAGAGACAGUAGCGAAGAAUCAUCAUCAAUCGCGUAAUCCGAUCCCGGAAUAGGGUCAUCCUUGAAGGGAAGAAUCGUCAUCAAGCGCGCAAUCCGAUCCCGGAAUAGGGUCAUCCUCGAAGGGAAGAAUCCGGUGAAAAAGCACAUUAAGGUGGAAUCUUCUCCAUUGAAGCUCCUCCUCAUGUUUCGAAUGUCCAAGUGGCCCAGUCACUGGAUACGAUAAGGAGACUAUGUAGGAUUGUCUAUAAAUAUCUGGAAGAUGGAACUAAGGUCACAGUGUCUACAGGACUAGCAGCAUCUGGAGCCAGAAUUCCUCACCUGAGAUAUUAAAACACAAGAGAAAACUUAGACCCAACAAUGAGUGCCGAACUAUUUGGCUUCUUUUUCUUGCAGUUGGCUCCAAGGAUACACUGUUUGAUCAUGUACUGGAAACAAACAUACGAUGUUAAAAGGGGAAUAGACAUGUCUGAUCUGUAGAAGUCCUGACUAGCCCUGGAGAUUCUGCUUGAUUGGCUGACAUUGAGGUUUCAUAUUUGGGAAUUGGGACAGUACUCCGUAUAAUAUAUUUUCCAUUAGAGAUGAAACGGCUCAAUUUGUGUCGGUGCGUGUCCCCAUUACACUGAAUUGUUCCUAUCCAUGGGAUGUGACUGGGGAUUAUGGAGAUCAAGGCAACUGCAUCUACUUCCCAAACUGGGUCUUCAAAUGCUACUAUAUUUCCCUUUGGCUUGUGGUAAAGAAGUGGAGAACUUUCCUGCCCCUGAUAUAGGACAUUACGAUAGGGACGGACUGUUUCAUGCCAGCAUUUGCAACUAUUCUCACUGUAGAACACAGGUGGGAUGCCUUCAUCACCAGUUUGAAGAGCUCCAUGGGAGCCGAGAAGAAGGGGCUGUGAUCGGUCUCCAUGACCAACACCUCAUCCGGUGGCCACCUCCGGAUCAUGGCGUCUUGCUGCUGUGGGUUCACCAUGUUGUCAUGUGUGGUCUUUAUGUACACUCGUCUUGCUUGCUCCAACCCCUCCACUUUGUGGAACCUUGUGCUGGGUAGAGUGGCCGGCCAUGGUCGUAGUAGCAUGGAAGCCAACGUGGAGUCCUGAGCCAUGCAACGUAACACAUGUUGAGACUACAAAUCUAUAUCUUGUCGUACUUAUCACUCGAUGACUCGACACAAAGAAGGAAAAUACAUCUUUGGUUAGACCGGUAAACAUUGAUCGAUGCUUGUCGAUCAGACUAUUUUAUAUUACAUCAGAUCUAAUCUAAUGAGCAUUGUCAGGAUUUGUUACCU